UAGGGAGCGAGCGUUGUCCGGAUUUACUGGGUGUAAAGGGCGUGUAGGCGGAGACGCAAGUCAGGAGUGAAAUCCCCGGGCUCAACCCGGGAACUGCUUUUGAAACUGCGUCCCUUGAGUAUCGGAGAGGCAGGCGGAAUUCCUAGUGUAGCGGUGAAAUGCGUAGAUAUUAGGAGGAACACCAGUGGCGAAGGCGGCCUGCUGGACGACAACUGACGCUGAGGCGCGAAAGCGUGGGGAGCAAA
rnacentral:rRNA from 1 species